rnacentral:rRNA from 1 species
UCCACGCCAUAAACAAUGUCAACUAGCCGUUGGGGGUCUUAGUACCUUUAGUGGCGCAGCUAACGCAUUAAGUUGACCGCCUGGGGAGUACGGUCGCAAGACUAAAACUCAAAGGAAUUGACGGGGGCCCGCACAAGCGGUGGAGCAUGUGGUUUAAUUCGAUGCAACGCGAAGAACCUUACCAGCUCUUGACAUCCUGCGAACUUUCUAGAGAUAGAUUGGUGCCCUUUCGG